UACGGGGGGGGCAAGCGUUGUUCGGAAUUACUGGGCGUAAAGGGCUCGUAGGUGGCCAACUAAGUCAGACGUGAAAUCCCUCGGCUUAACCGGGGAACUGCGUCUGAUACUGGAUGGCUUGAGUUUGGGAGAGGGACGCGGAAUUCCAGGUGUAGCGGUGAAAUGCGUAGAUAUCUGGAGGAACACCGGUGGCGAAGGCGGGUCUCUGGGCCGAUACUGACGCUGAGGAGCGAAAGCGUGGGGAGCGAACAGG
rnacentral:rRNA from 1 species